GACGAACGCUGGCGGCGUGCCUAACACAUGCAAGUCGAGCGGGGACAUUUAACAGAACGGAAGUUUUCGGACGGAAGGGAAGAUAAGUGUUCUAGCGGCGGACGGGUGAGUAACGCGCGAGCAACCUGUCCUUCACAGGGGGAGUAACACAGCGAAAGUUAGUACUAAUACCGCAUAAGACCACGGUACCGCAUGGUGCAGGGGUCGAAAGGAGGAAUCCGGUGAAGGGUGGGCUCGCGUCCGAUUAGAUAGUUGGUGAGGUAACGGCCCACCAAGUCAACGAUCGGUAGCCGACCUGAGAGGGUGAUCGGCCACAUUGGGACUGAGACGCGGCCCAA
rnacentral:rRNA from 1 species